UACGUAGGGUGCAAGCGUUAAUCGGAAUUACUGGGCGUAAAGCGUGCGCAGGCGGUCUUGCAAGACAGAUGUGAAAUCCCCGGGCUCAACCUGGGAACUGCAUUUGUGACUGCAAGGCUGGAGUGCGGCAGAGGGGGAUGGAAUUCCGCGUGUAGCAGUGAAAUGCGUAGAUAUCAGGAGGAAUACCGGUGGCGAAAGCGACUCUCUGGACGGCAACUGACGCUGAGGCACGAAAGCGUGGGGAGCAAACAGG
rnacentral:rRNA from 1 species